rnacentral:lncRNA from 1 species
UUUGAAAAUUUCUUAAAUUGACUUUGAAACCUAUAUUUUUGAAUGGAGGGAGUAUUACUUUUAAACACUACUUACAUCAUACAUGGGUUCUCCUUGGAUGUGACUGUUCUUAGUAGUGCUCCUUUGACAGUACUACAGUAGGGUCACAAUUUAUUUUACAUUUUGUGAGUUUGAUAUACCUAUUCCUGUUUCAAUUUGAAAGUGCAUUUUGUUUCUGAGUUUGAUAUACCUAUUCCCGAACUUCAUUUAAGAACCAGGAGCACCAUACCUAUGCCUUUUAGCUCAUGCUUUCACUUCCGUUUUCCUCCAUAAUACUGACCUUCAAAAAGUAAAAAAUGUCUGAGGUAUUAAUGAAGACUGUGUCUCAGAGAAGUUGGUAGUCACAAGUCAUCACACAAGCAUAUAUGCCAUGUCUAUUUCUCACCCCAACUUUCCUAAUAAUUUGCAAAGCAUUUGAUAUUGUUUCAUAUUCUGGGCCGGGGCAUAUCAUUUGAUAUGGUUUCAUAUUUGAUAUUGUUUCAUUUGAUAUUGUUUCAAUAUAUUAUGUGAAUGUACUAAUACAUUUUGGAUGGUACUCUACAUAUGUUACCUGGUAGGCUUACCAAGUUUUAAUUAGCAAGUAUAUAACUAUCCCAAUCAGUACUAGGUAUUUGUUUCCUCUUCUAAUCUCAAAUUUUCCUUUAUGAAAGGUUCAUGGAGUACGUAUGAUGACACUCUUGGAAAAUGUUUCAAUGAUUUCAUGUUGGUCUCUGAUGCUUACGACCCUGAUAGCAAUAUUGUUUAAAACAGAUUUACACUAAUGUUCUAAUUGCUAACUGUUUUUGGGCUUUUAUUAACAUUAACUUGCUUUUUUGGUUGAUUUUAU